UACGAGGGGGGCGAGCGUUGUUCGGAAUUAUUGGGCGUAAAGGGUGCGUAGGCGGUUUGGUAAGUCUCGUGUGAAAUCUCCGGGCUCAACUCGGAGCCUGCACGAGAAACUGCCGGGCUUGAGUGUGGGAGAGGUGAGUGGAAUUCCUGGUGUAGCGGUGAAAUGCGUAGAUAUCAGGAGGAACACCUGUGGCGAAGGCGCCUUGCUGGCCAAUUUCUGACGCUGAGGCGCGAAAGCGUGGGGAGCGAACAGG
rnacentral:rRNA from 1 species